GGGGUGUGCUCAGAGCAGGGGGCCCAGAGAAUGGCUUCUCUGUUUAUAACACACCCAAGAAGAAUCUGGGGCCAUUGUGAUGAGGGGCACACAGCACUGUGUCCUCUCUGUGAGCAGAUCCCCUACAUGC
ensembl:snoRNA predicted gene, 22488